ACUUACAUAGUUUAAAUUAAAAACUUUUCAUUUUCAAUGAAAGAUUAGAAAUAUUUCUUGUAAGUA
rnacentral:tRNA from 1 species